AUGAGCCGCAGCCUGGGGAUCCCGGUGAAGCUGCUGCACGAGGCGGCGGGGCACGUGGUGACGGUGGAGCUCAAGACCGGCGAGGUCUACCGGGGCUCCAUGAUCGAGUGCGAGGACAACUGGAACUGCCAGAUCGAGAACAUCACCUUCACCGCCAAGGACGGCAAGGUUUCGCAGCUGGAGCACGUCUUCAUCAGGGGCAGCAGGGUCCGCUUCAUGAUCAUCCCCGACAUGCUCAAGAACGCCCCCAUGUUCAAGCGCCUCGAGGCCAGGAUAAGGGGCAAGGGGUCGGCCAUCGGUGUCGGGCGUGGCCGUGCUGUCGCGAUGCGUGCCCGGGCUGCUGGUGGUCGUGGUGGUGGCCCCCCAGUUGGUGGAGGACGAGGUGGCGCGCCUCCCGUGAGGAGGUAG
rnacentral:rRNA from 1 species